rnacentral:rRNA from 1 species
CCUACGGGUGGCAGCAGUGGGGGAUAUUGCACAAUGGGGGGAACCCUGAUGCAGCGACGCCGCGUGGGUGAAGAAGCGCCUCGGCGCGUAAAGCGCUGUCAGCAGGGAAGAAAAUGACGGUACCUGAAGAAUAAGCCCCGGCUAACUACGUGCCAGCAGCCGCGGUAAUACUUAGGGGGCAAGCGUUAUCCGGAUUUACUGGGUGUAAAGGGGGCGCAGAAGGGGAUGCAAGCCAGGAGGGAAAGCCCGGGGCCCAACCCCGGGACUGCUCGUGGAACUGCGUGGCGGGAGUGAGGGAGAGGGAGGCGGAAUUCCUGGGGUAGCGGUGAAAUGCGUAGAUAUCAGGAAGAACACCGGUGGCGAAGGCAGCCUGCUGGACUGCAACUGACGUUGAGGCCCGAAAGCGUGGGGAGCAAACAGGAUUAGAUACCCCAGUAGUC